AGAGUUUGAUCCUGGCUCAGGAUAAACGCUGGCGGCGUGCCUAACACAUGCAAGUCGAACGCCCUCUGGCAACAGAGGGAGUGGCGGACGGGUGAGUAACACGUGGGUACCUUCCCUCAAGUGGAGAAUACCGGCGAGAAAUCGCCGACAAUACUUCAUAGCCUUGGCAACAAGGAAAGCCCGCAAGGGCGCUUGGGGAU
rnacentral:rRNA from 1 species